rnacentral:rRNA from 1 species
UACGUAGGUGGCAAGCGUUGUCCGGAUUUAUUGGGCGUAAAGCGCGCGCAGGCGGCUAUGUAAGUCUGGUGUUAAAGCCCGGGGCUCAACCCCGGUUCGCAUCGGAAACUGCAGAGCUUGAGUGCAGAAGAGGAAAGCGGUAUUCCACGUGUAGCGGUGAAAUGCGUAGAGAUGUGGAGGAACACCAGUGGCGAAGGCGGCUUUCUGGUCUGUAACUGACGCUGAGGCGCGAAAGCGUGGGGAGCAAACA